rnacentral:lncRNA from 1 species
UUGAGCAUGACCUUGCAUUUGAAGCAAGCAUUGUGAGCUUGAGCAUACUUGAUGAUGGUGAGUCACAAUUUGAAACUUUGAGUGCACAAUUGAUCAUUGUAUAAGUAGUUUGAACCUUGUUGUGUGCAUUUAUGUUGAGUCUGACGCAGCACUGUUUUAAUGUGGGUUUAAUCAUUAGAUGCGUUUUAAUCUAUGGAUUGUAGUCGCAAAUGCACUCCUAGUACAGAGUUAUUGUCUUGCUU